UAAUCUUUACCCUUCCCUAAAAUGCAUAAAAAAUGUUAAUAAGACUGGCCAAGCAAAUUAUAUGAGAAGAUAAUAUAUAUCCAUUGAUUACAUCUAAACUGAAAGCCAAGGCCAUUUACCUUACAACAGAUCAUCAUCAUCAUCAUCCCCACUACUAAAGGAUUCAACAAGCUCACUGUCAUCUUCAUCUUCACCAUCUGUCACAAUCUCCAAUAUACCUCCACCACCGAAGUCCACACCAUCUACAAUGAAGUCACCGUCUUCGUCUUCUUCGUCAUCAAGCUCACUCACACUAUCAUCAUCAUUGCUCAAAUCAUCUGCAUCGCUUUCACCGUCCCCAUCAAGAUCCGUUCCAAGGAUUGCUUCUUCGUCAAUGUCAUCAUCAUCGUCUUCAUCUUCAUCUUCACUUUCAGCAUCAUCAGGGUCUGAAUCAUCCUCAGUUGGCCUCCUCCGACCAAUUUCAUACACUCUAGCAGAAGAGUACAUCUCAUCUUGGUCAUCCAUUGUUACCAGUCCAACAAAUGAAUCAGUUGGCUCCGUCGCAAAGUCAAGUACACAACGGUCGACUGGAAUGGUUGCAAUGUCGGAGUAGUUAACAGCAUCCACCGUACGGAAAGCAGCAAAGAGAGGAUGUUUAACACGACGUGUCUGGAAGGCGGACAUGACAUCCUCAAGAUUUCUUCUCAAGAUGGCAUAUAUCACAUCACCACUAGCAUUAAAUGUUAUUACAGUCUGGUCCAAAGACGGUACACUUCGCAGAAGCCUGAAGUUCCGCAAAUCCCAUACCUCCGAAUUUAUGAUGACCUCAUUGCCAGCAGGAUGAAAGCCCCCGCCACCAUAGUCAGUAAAUUGAUCAAAACGGUGAAUUGGGCCAGAACCACGAGUAUCCCAUAAGACACCGUUCCAGAGAAGCAUAUUGUCUGAUGGGCUAAAAUGUGCAAGAGAAUACAUAUGUCCUCGGCCUGAAGGAAUAUUGGAUGUGUCUGUAAGUUUCAGUUCCACUUGGCAGGUUUGAGUGUCAUACAGAAGAAUCUCGCGCCGAGAUUGCUCCGCAGACAAUGCAGCAAACGUUGUACCGAAAUUGCUAAAUCGAGCAGCUUUACAGCCUUCAAAUGAAUGCUUAGGCCCAGCUGAAACAGAAGUUGCAUCCCAUAACCGCACAUCGUGAGAACUUGAAGACAAGAGAAGCUGUGUCUCAACGGAAAGGUAGGACUGUAGAAGUGUUAAAGGUGCCUGGUGACUGGUGAAGCUUUCUAAGAUACUGCUGCUGUUAGUGUCAAAUAUUUUCAGCUCUCCAGAAUGGGUGCCAGCAGCAAUUUGCGAAGAAUCUCCCAUAAAAGAGACACAAGUCAAUAAGACACCAGCAUCAUCCCGGCAAGUGCGCCACGGUCGAAAUCUACUGUAGACGAAUUGUCGAUCCUUACGCUUUCCAUGUGUCCCACCAUUCAAACUUCUAAAAUCACGAGUACUAAGCCGUGAUGUUACAUUUGAUGGUGCAUCAAGGCUUCGUUUUGGUUCAGGACAGACGUGAGGGUGCAAGAGCGAAAGAGGCGGUAACGUUGUGAUGGGAGCAGGACAUUGGCGAUGCUGGUGCUUCAAGUACUGAACAACCAGAGAGUCCAAGGUUAACCGCUCCGCAUUUGAGGGUUGUGUGUCACUUAGAAGACCAUGUUGAGAAGACGACAGCAUAGGAGUAUCAUCACCUUCAGUUGGAAAAGCACUUGAGCCAGGUCGAUUAUGGAUCUCUCUCAAAGUAGAAUUCGG
rnacentral:misc_RNA from 1 species